GUAAGUAAGAAAUGUCCUUUGCCCAGUUAUUUUGAAAUACAAAAAAAUGUAUUUACUGUUCUGUAACAUUUUGUAUACUUAUACAGAAUGCUGUACACCUGCUCUGUUCAGUAGUUGCAAGCUCGUUGUUUUCUGGGCAGUUCAGAUGCCUCACCAAGAUGAAGUUCCCAGUUGAAGACAUGUGGCUGUGCCCUGUGAACUUUGGUACACACUGGAUUCUUGUGAUUGUCAACAUUUCUGCACAGAAAAUACUGCUCAUAGACCCCAUGGGGAAUGAAGGUGUUUAUGACAGGAAAAUUCUGCGCAACUGGAGGAAUUUUCUGAGGAUGAGAGGGCAUGAAGACACCAUGGAGUGGCAGUUACACACUAUGCAACACAACAAGCAACAGGAUUCCAGCAGUUGCGGAGUUUUGCUGUUAAAGGGAACGCUGAGGACUACUGCAUUGUUUGCUCUAUGUUAGAUGCUGAUGCUGACCGCAGCAUGAUUGAAAUGGUGCAGUGUGAAUCUUGCCAAAGAUGGGCACAUUUUGCAUGUGCAAAAUAUAAAGAGAGCAAUCAAGAAUAUAAAUGCAAAAAAUGUAAGGAAAACACAUAACAACUUCAAAUAAAAACACCUGUCUUUUCCC
ensembl:lncRNA